rnacentral:rRNA from 1 species
UACGUAGGGUGCGAGCGUUAAUCGGAAUUACUGGGCGUAAAGCGUGCGCAGGCGGUUCGUUAAGUCAGAUGUGAAAGCCCCGGGCUCAACCUGGGAACUGCAUUUGAAACUGGCGGGCUUGAGUGUGGCAGAGGGGGGUGGAAUUCCACGUGUAGCAGUGAAAUGCGUAGAGAUGUGGAGGAAUACCGAUGGCGAAGGCAGCCCCCUGGGAUAACACUGACGCUCAUGCACGAAAGCGUGGGGAGCAAACAGG